UCUCCGUUGGUGAACCAGCGGAGGGAUCAUUACAAGAGUUGAAAAACUCCCUAAACCCUCUGUAAACUUACCUGUUCAGUUGCUUCGGCAGGCGGCCCUGGGGCGGGGCUUUCGGCCUGCGUUCAGCAGGUGCCUGCCGACAGCCCACUACCAAAACUAUGCUGUUCUGUACCGCUCCGAGUCACAUAACAAAAUGAAUCAAAACUUUCAACAACGGAUCUCUUGGUUCUG
rnacentral:misc_RNA from 1 species